GAUGAACGCUGGCGGCGUGCCUAAUACAUGCAAGUCGAGCGAACAGACGAGGAGCUUGCUCCUCUGACGUUAGCGGCGGACGGGUGAGUAACACGUGGAUAACCUACCUAUAAGACUGGGAUAACUUCGGGAAACCGGAGCUAAUACCGGAUAAUAUAUUGAACCGCAUGGUUCAAUAGUGAAAGACGGUUUUGCUGUCACUUAUAGAUGGAUCCGCGCCGCAUUAGCUAGUUGGUAUGGUAACGGCUUACCAAGGCAACGAUGCGUAGCCGACCUGAGGGGUGGACCGCCCCCACGGAACCUAGGACACGGUCCAGACUCCAAGGGAGGGCAGCGGAGGGAAACCUUCGGAAAUGGGCGAAACCCUACGGAACAAAGGCGGGGGAGGUAUUAAGGUCCUUCGAUUGGUAAACCCCUGUUUUUGGGAAAAAACAAAUUUGAAAGUAACUAUGACGGUCUGAACGGUACCUAAUAAGAAGGCACGGCUAACUACGUG
rnacentral:rRNA from 1 species